rnacentral:rRNA from 1 species
AUGGUUCGAUUAGUCUUUCGCCCCUAUACCCAGUUCAUACGAUCGAUUUGCACGUCAGAAUCGCUACGGACCUCCAUCAGGGUUUCCCCUGACUUCAUCCUGACCAGGCAUAGUUCACCAUCUUUCGGGUCCCAGCGUGUACGCUCUUGGUGCGCCACAACUUGCAAUAAGUAUGCAACGCCCCGGGAAUGCGAGGUAACAUAAAUAACGUCACCCAUCUUCCCUUUAUAAAAUAUAUAAAAAAUUAUAUAUAUACAUUCACUUUCAUUACGCCUUUAGGUUUAUUAUAAAUACCCAAUGACUUGCGCACAUGCUAGAUG